GGAAGCGUGGCCGAGUGGUUUAAGGCAGCGGUCUUGAAAACCGCCGAUGGGCAACUAUCCUAGAGUUCGAAUCUCUACGCUUCCG
rnacentral:tRNA from 1 species